GCGUAAGCUAAUUGUAUUAAUUAAUACAAUAUCNAUUAUGUCGGAUAAAGUUCUAGAUAGAAUAAUGAUAAUGACAAUUUUCUAUCUAUAUGUCUUGGCCAAAUCUCGUGCCAUCAUCCGCGGUAAUACGAGGAAGACUAGUGUUAUUCGUCUUNANCAGGUUUAAAGGGUACCUAGACGGUACUUUUAGCCCAAAACAGGGGACGGAUUUACUANAGUUUUAUGUGAGAAGGGGAAUACUCUUGGAGUAGAGAUGAAAUUAUGUAAUACUAUGGGGUAACUGGUANAGGCGAAAGCNACCG
rnacentral:rRNA from 1 species